rnacentral:rRNA from 1 species
AGUGAACGCUGGCGGUAGGCCUAACACAUGCAAGUCGAACGGCAGCACAGUAAGAGCUUGCUCUUACGGGUGUCGAGUGGCGGACGGGUGAGGAAUACAUCGGAAUCUACUUUUUCGUGGGGGAUAACGUAGGGAAACUUACGCUAAUACCGCAUACGACCUACGGGUGAAAGCAGGGGAUCUUCGGACCUUGCGCGAUUGAAUGAGCCGAUGUCGGAUUAGCUAGUUGGCGGGGUAAAGGCCCACCAAGGCGACGAUCCGUAGCUGGUCUGAGAGGAUGAUCAGCCACACUGGAACUGAGACACGGUCCAGACUCCUACGGGAGGCAGCAGUGGGGAAUAUUGGACAAUGGGCGAAAGCCUGAUCCAGCCAUACCGCGUGGGUGAAGAAGGCCUUCGGGUUGUAAAGCCCUUUUGUUGGGAAAGAAAAGCAGCAGGUUAAUACCGCGCUGUUCUGACGGUACCCAAAGAAUAAGCACCGGCUAACUUCGUG